GACUCCUACGGAAGGCAGCAGUGGGGAAUUUUGGACAAUGGGGGAAACCCUGAUCCAGCAAUGCCGCGUGAGUGAAGAAGGCCUUCGGGUUGUAAAGCUCUUUUGUCAGGGAAGAAACACCGGCUCUAACACAGUCCGGGAAUGACGGUACCUGAAGAAUAAGCACCGGCUAACUACGUGCCAGCAGCCGCGGUAAUA
rnacentral:rRNA from 1 species